rnacentral:rRNA from 2 species
UUGCUCCCGUUAGUUAGCGGCGGACGGGUGAGUAACACGUGGGCAACCUACCUAUAAGACUGGGAUAACUUCGGGAAACCGGAGCUAAUACCGGAUGACAUAAAGGAACUCCUGUUCCUUUAUUGAAAGAUGGCUUCGGCUAUCACUUAUAGAUGGGCCCGCGGCGCAUUAGCUAGUUGGUGAGGUAACGGCUCACCAAGGCGACGAUGCGUAGCCGACCUGAGAGGGUGAUCGGCCACACUGGGACUGAGACACGGCCCAGACUCCUACGGGAGGCAGCAGUAGGGAAUCUUCCGCAAUGGACGAAAGUCUGACGGAGCAACGCCGCGUGAGCGAUGAAGGCCUUCGGGUCGUAAAGCUCUGUUGUUAGGGAAGAACAAGUGCUAGUUAAAUAAGCUGGCACCUUGACGGUACCUAACCAGAAAGCCACGGCUAACUACGUGCCAGCAGCCGCGGUAAUACGUAGGUGGCAAGCGUUGUCCGGAAUUAUUGGGCGUAAAGCGCGCGCAGGCGGUUUCUUAAGUCUGAUGUGAAAGCCCCCGGCUCAACCGGGGAGGGUCAUUGGAAACUGGGAAACUUGAGUGCAGAAGAGGAAAGUGGAAUUCCAAGUGUAGCGGUGAAAUGCGUAGAGAUUUGGAGGAACACCAGUGGCGAAGGCGACUUUCUGGUCU